rnacentral:rRNA from 1 species
GACGAACGCUGGCGGCGUGCCUAAUACAUGCAAGUCGAGCGGACUGAUUAAGAGCUUGCUCUUAUGACGUUAGCGGCGGACGGGUGAGUAACACGUGGGCAACCUGCCCUGUAGAUCGGGAUAACACCGAGAAAUCGGUGCUAAUACCGGGUAAUAUCUGAGAUCACAUGAUCUUAGGUUAAAAGAUGGCUCCGGCUAUCACUACAGGAUGGGCCCGCGGCGCAUUAGCUAGUUGGUAAGGGAAUGGCUUACCAAGGCGACGAUGCGUAGCCGACCUGAGGGGGUGAUCGGCCACACUGGGACUGAGACACGGCCCAGACUCCUACGGGAGGCAGCAGUAGGGAAUCUUCCGCAAUGGACGAAAGUCUGACGGAGCAACGCCGCGUGAGUGAUGAAGGGUUUCGGCUCGUAAAGCUCUGUUGUUAGGGCAGAAACAGUACCGAACGAACUAGGUCGGUACCUUGACGGUACCUAACCAGAAAGCCACGGCUAACUACGUG